rnacentral:rRNA from 1 species
GUGAACGCUGGCGGUAGGCCUAACACAUGCAAGUCGCACGGCAGCACAGUAAGAGCUUGCUCUUACGGGUGGCGAGUGGCGGACGGGUGAGGAAUACAUCGGAAUCUACUUUUUCGUGGGGGAUAACGUAGGGAAACUUACGCUAAUACCGCAUACGACCUACGGGUGAAAGCAGGGGAUCUUCGGACCUUGCGCGAUUGAAUGAGCCGAUGUCGGAUUAGCUAGUUGGCGGGGUAAAGGCCCACCAAGGCGACGAUCCGUAGCUGGUCUGAGAGGAUGAUUCGGCAAAAUGGAAAUGAGGAAAGGUCCAAACCUCUAAGGGGAGCAGGAGUGGGGAAAAUUGGAACAUGGGCGCAGGCCCGAACCCGCCAAACCGCGUGGGUGAAGAAGGCCUUCGGGUUGUAAAGCCCUUUUGUUGGGAAAGAAAAGCAGCAGGUUAAUACCCCGCUGUUCAGACGGUACCCAAAGAAUAAGCACCGGCUAACUUCGUG